rnacentral:rRNA from 1 species
UGAACGCUGGCGGCACGCUUAACACAUGCAAGUCGAACGAAGUCGAUGGAGCUUGCUCCGGUUGAUUUAGUGGCGAACGGGUGCGUAACACGUGAGGAAUCUGUCCCGGACUCUGGGAUAACAGUUGGAAACGGCUGCUAAUACCGGAUGUCUUCAUUUGGCCGCAUGGUUGUUUGAAGAAAGAUUUAUCGGUUUGGGAGGAUCUCGCGGCCUAUCAGCUUGUUGGAGAGGUAAUGGCUCACCAAGGCUUCGACGGGUAGCUGGUCUGAGAGGAUGAUCAGCCACACUGGAACUGAGACACGGUCCAGACUCCUACGGGAGGCAGCAGUGGGGAAUCUUGCACAAUGGGCGAAAGCCUGAUGCAGCGAUGCCGCGUGCGGGAAGAAGGCCUUAGGGUUGUAAACCGCUUUCAGGAGGGAAGAAAAUGACGGUACCUCCAGAAGAAGGUGCGGCCAACUAC